UCCGGAGCUAACGCGUUAAAUCGACCGCCUGGGGAGUACGGCCGCAAGGUUAAAACUCAAAUGAAUUGACGGGGGCCCGCACAAGCGGUGGAGCAUGUGGUUUAAUUCGAUGCAACGCGAAGAACCUUACCUGGUCUUGACAUCCACAGAACUUGCCAGAGAUGGCUUGGUGCCUUCGGGAACUGUGAGACAGGUGCUGCAUGGCUGUCGUCAGCUCGUGUUGUGAAAUGUUGGGUUAAGUCCCGCAACGAGCGCAACCCUUAUCCUUUGUUGCCAGCGGUUAGGCCGGGAACUCAAAGGAGACUGCCAGUGAUAAACUGGAGGAAGGUGGGGAUGACGUCAAGUCAUCAUGGCCCUUACGACCAGGGCUACACACGUGCUACAAUGGCGCAUACAAAGAGAAGCGACCUCGCGAGAGCAAGCGGACCUCAUAAAGUGCGUCGUAGUCCGGAUUGGAGUCUGCAACUCGACUCCAUGAAGUCGGAAUCGCUAGUAAUCGUAGAUCAGAAUGCUACGGUGAAUACGUUCCCGGGCCUUGUACACACCGCCCGUCACACCAUGGGAGUGGGUUGCAAAAGAAGUAGGUAGCUUAACCUUCGGGAGGGCGCUUACCACUUUGUGAUUCAUGACUGGGGUGAAGUCGUAACAAGGUAACCGUAGGGGAACCUGCGGUUGGAUCACCUCCUUACCUUAAAGAA
rnacentral:rRNA from 1 species